rnacentral:tRNA from 1 species
AUUUAUGUAGUUUAAGUAAAACAUUACAUUUUCGAUGUAAAAUUGAAGUAAUUUCAUAAAUA